UACGUAGGGUGCGAGCGUUGUCCGGAAUUAUUGGGCGUAAAGAGCUCGUAGGCGGUUUGUUGCGUCGGCUGUGAAAUCCCGAGGCUCAACCUCGGGUCUGCAGUCGAUACGAGCAAACUAGAGUGUUGCAGGGGAGACUGGAAUUCCUAGUGUAGCGGUGAAAUGCGCAGAUAUCAGGAGGAACACCGGUGGCGAAGGCGGGUCUCUGGGCAACAACUGACGCUGAGGAGCGAAAGCGUGGGGAGCGAACAGG
rnacentral:rRNA from 1 species